GAGCUGCUACAGCAACUUCUUCACCCACAGCAGCCAUGACCUUAAUCCCCAUCUUCAUCUGGACACUGAUCUUCUGGACUCAAGAGUCCACAGGUCAGGUGACUGUAACUCAGACUCCUGCAGUGAAAUCUGCUCGUCCAGGAGACACAGUCACCAUCAGCUGUAGAACCAGCACUGCAGUGUAUUACCACAGCUCAUAUGGCCACUAUUUACACUGGUAUCAGCAGAAACCUGGAGAAACUCCUAAACUCCUGAUUAAACUUACGAAUCAGCUUCAGUCUGGUUUUCCAGCUCGUUUCAGUGGCAGCGGAUCUGGAACAGACUUCACUCUGACCAUCAGUGGAGUCCAGCCUGAAGAUGAUGGAGAUUAUUACUGUCAGAGUCAUCACAGUGGUGGUGUGUUCACACAGUGAUACAGAGCCGUACAAAAACCUCCCUCAGUCACACUGUACAGAGGCUGCACUGCUGCAGUGGGACCUC